AAAUUGAAGAGUUUGAUCAUGGCUCAGAUUGAACGCUGGCGGCAGGCCUAACACAUGCAAGUCGAACGGUAACAGGAAGCAGCUUGCUGCUUUGCUGACGAGUGGCGGACGGGUGAGUAAUGUCUGGGAAACUGCCUGAUGGAGGGGGAUAACUACUGGAAACGGUGGCUAAUACCGCAUAACGUCGCAAGACCAAAGAGGGGGACCUUCGGGCCUCUUGCCAUCAGAUGUGCCCAGAUGGGAUUAGCUUGUUGGUGAGGUAACGGCUCACCAAGGCGACGAUCCCUAGCUGGUCUGAGAGGAUGACCAGCCACACUGGAACUGAGACACGGUCCAGACUCCUACGGGAGGCAGCAGUGGGGAAUAUUGCACAAUGGGCGCAAGCCUGAUGCAGCCAUGCCGCGUGUAUGAAGAAGGCCUUCGGGUUGUAAAGUACUUUCAGCGGGGAGGAAGGUGUUGUGGUUAAUAACCACAGCAAUUGACGUUACCCGCAGAAGAAGCACCGGCUAACUCCGUGCCAGCAGCCGCGGUAAUACGGAGGGUGCAAGCGUUAAUCGGAAUUACUGGGCGUAAAGCGCACGCAGGCGGUCUGUCAAGUCGGAUGUGAAAUCCCCGGGCUCAACCUGGGAACUGCAUUCGAAACUGGCAGGCUUGAGUCUUGUAGAGGGGGGUAGAAUUCCAGGUGUAGCGGUGAAAUGCGUAGAGAUCUGGAGGAAUACCGGUGGCGAAGGCGGCCCCCUGGACAAAGACUGACGCUCAGGUGCGAAAGCGUGGGGAGCAAACAGGAUUAGAUACCCUGGUAGUCCACGCCGUAAACGAUGUCUACUUGGAGGUUGUGCCCUUGAGGCGUGGCUUCCGGAGCUAACGCGUUAAGUAGACCGCCUGGGGAGUACGGCCGCAAGGUUAAAACUCAAAUGAAUUGACGGGGGCCCGCACAAGCGGUGGAGCAUGUGGUUUAAUUCGAUGCAACGCGAAGAACCUUACCUGGUCUUGACAUCCACAGAACUUUCCAGAGAUGGAUUGGUGCCUUCGGGAACUGUGAGACAGGUGCUGCAUGGCUGUCGUCAGCUCGUGUUGUGAAAUGUUGGGUUAAGUCCCGCAACGAGCGCAACCCUUAUCCUUUGUUGCCAGCGGUCCGGCCGGGAACUCAAAGGAGACUGCCAGUGAUAAACUGGAGGAAGGUGGGGAUGACGUCAAGUCAUCAUGGCCCUUACGACCAGGGCUACACACGUGCUACAAUGGCGCAUACAAAGAGAAGCGACCUCGCGAGAGCAAGCGGACCUCAUAAAGUGCGUCGUAGUCCGGAUUGGAGUCUGCAACUCGACUCCAUGAAGUCGGAAUCGCUAGUAAUCGUGGAUCAGAAUGCCACGGUGAAUACGUUCCCGGGCCUUGUACACACCGCCCGUCACACCAUGGGAGUGGGUUGCAAAAGAAGUAGGUAGCUUAACCUUCGGGAGGGCGCUUACCACUUUGUGAUUCAUGACUGGGGUGAAGUCGUAACAAGGUAACCGUAGGGGAACCUGCGGUUGGAUCACCUCCUUACCUUAAAGAAGC
rnacentral:rRNA from 3 species